GUUUUAAGUUCAUAAAAGUGGCUAGCGCUGGCUUGCCUUUGACUUUGGUGAAAAUUUUGUUAUUUCGCCGUAAAGUUUACCAGUCGGACAUUCAGCUGUUUUACAUGAAUCAAUUCUAUCACAUUGACAUUGUCGUUUGUAUCUGGUUAGGUUUGGCCAUUUUAAUUCAAGCUACUGAAAUACGUAUACCUGUUCGUAUAUUACGUGAACCGAGCAGAACGGACGUAUUCAAGGGAGAUUGGAUCAAGCUGAGAUGUGAAAUCGACACAAGCACGGUCAACGUGUCAUGGCAUUAUAAGAAUUUCGACGCACUCCCACCUAUUACGAACUCUUCGAAUGGUACAAGUAUUAUCACGUGGAGUGAAGGUAAUGUUGUGUAUGAUAUUAUAAUU
rnacentral:lncRNA from 1 species